GUCAUGAACGAAAUUGCAAAUUGUAUAAGUGCAGCGUUGAACGCACUGACAUGAAGUUAAAAUAUCCGAAAAUGAAAAGUAAAUAUUUAAGUGAACGCGAAGUAAUAGCAAAUAAUUGCAUAAAAUAAUUUUGGAAGGGAGCCUGUGUGGGGUUUGUAGACUUAGGGGCAGUUGUACAAUCGUUGACUAAAUCCGAGGUGGAAUAAGCUAACCACAGGUAUAACUUUGAGUGCGCAUUGUAGCAUGCGGUUUUAUUCCGCAGUUAGUUGUUCAUGGAAUAGCGAUCCCGUCUAGUUAAGUUGGCGGCAACUGAAGUGCAUGGUGGGUAUUUGCGCGUGUGUGAUUCAGUUUAUUUAUAUCUCGUCGUGUCGAGUUAUCGUCGUCUGCUAAAGAAGUUUUAUCAGCUUGGGCGAGAAACGAUCAAGGACGCAAAACUAUUUAAAAAACUUGUGGACAUUAUACAAGAUUGGGAAAACAUUAUAGAGAACAAGAAAAGGGAUGCAGUGAAAAGAAGAAAGGAUGUGACUAAAUAUGUGAUGCAUAUAAUCCACAUUGUUGCACAGACCGAGCGAACAACUUCGACAGAACUGAUUCACUAAAGAGAGAGACGAAAAAAUAAUAUGCCAUAUUAAGGCAGCAAAGCUGCAGUGUGGCUGUGGUCCAUUUGUGGGGCGCAAGUUCCAAGUUGUGUAUGCCAUUACAUGCAAUUGGAUUAAAUUAUCCACAGCCAAAGUCAUUUUGAUUCUGACGCAACGUUUAAAGGGGCAAGAUAAUAUUCCCUCCAAAGUAUCUGAAUGAUAGGUGGGGCAUCAGUCCAGGAGAAUGCCUGUCAGCUACACAAGUAUCAUGUACAUCGCAAUAAUGUUCUAGGUAUGCUGUACUUGCAGGUUAUCAGAACUGUUAAGCACAAAUCUAACACUAAAGCUCAAAAUCCACAUCAGAAAAUUGUAAUUCCAUUCUAAAGAGAUUUUUGAUUACGUGAUUCUAAAAACUAAAGCACAUCCAUUAGUUUUUAUGACAGGUUAUACAGAAUUUGACUCGUGAAACAAUAUGUGUAUAGUGUGUGUGGUGACUGAUAGUGAGAUAUGAGUUAACAAUGUGGCAUUAUAUUAUUUAAUAAGUUAUUUGUAAAAAAAAGUAUUGUAUACCAGGAUUAAGCCUAAUUAUUGUCUCUAACUAGAUGUCCAUAAAUAUAUGUUUAUGUGAAUUAGCUUAUUUUAAAUUGAUCUAAAUUUGUAAAUGCUAUGACAUGUCCUAUAUCCUUGUAAAAAGAGAUAUACAGAUGAAUAAAGCUACUACUACU